AUGGCUUCUUCUUCAUCGAUCUGGCGUCUCUUCGCAGCGCCUCAACUUCAAUCGUUUUCAGAUUCCUACGAUCUUCUACCACCUUCGUUCAUACUGCCUCUCCGUCCACUCACAAUUUCUCAUUUCAGCUGCAUAUCAACUUCGUUCUACCUUAAUUCAUCUUCUAAUCCGUCUUCAACUCAGUGUCAUAGAGUUCAAAUAUGCGAAAAUAAAGGAGAGUUUGAGGCUUACCGAUCGGAGACACUCCGACGGCGCUUCGAAGAUGCCAAAAUAAAAACCAGAUUCUAUUUAGAUUGCAAUGCGUGA